CCUACGGGGAGCAGCAGUCGAGAAUCAUUCACAAUGGGGGAAACCCUGAUGGUGCGACGCCGCGUGGGGGAAUGAAGGUCUUCGGAUUGUAAACCCCUGUCAUGUGGGAGCAAAUUAAAAAGAUAGUACCACAAGAGGAAGAGACGGCUAACUCUGUGCCAGCAGCCGCGGUAAUACAGAGGUCUCAAGCGUUGUUCGGAAUCACUGGGCGUAAAGCGUGCGUAGGCUGUUUCGUAAGUCGUGUGUGAAAGGCGCGGGCUCAACCCGCGGACGGCACAUGAUACUGCGAGACUAGAGUAAUGGAGGGGGAACCGGAAUUCUCGGUGUAGCAGUGAAAUGCGUAGAUAUCGAGAGGAACACUCGUGGCGAAGGCGGGUUCCUAGACAUUAACUGACGCUGAGGCACGAAGGCCAGGGGAGCGAAAGGGAUUAGAUACCCCUGUAGUC
rnacentral:rRNA from 1 species